AGUGAACGCUGGCGGUAGGCCUAACACAUGCAAGUCGAACGGCAGCACAGAGGAGCUUGCUCCUUGGGUGGCGAGUGGCGGACGGGUGAGGAAUACAUCGGAAUCUACUCUGUCGUGGGGGAUAACGUAGGGAAACUUACGCUAAUACCGCAUACGACCUACGGGUGAAAGCAGGGGAUCUUCGGACCUUGCGCGAUUGAAUGAGCCGAUGUCGGAUUAGCUAGUUGGCGGGGUAAAGGCCCACCAAGGCGACGAUCCGUAGCUGGUCUGAGAGGAUGAUCAGCCACACUGGAACUGGGACACGGUCCAGACUCCUACGGGAGGCAGCAGUGGGGAAUAUUGGACAAUGGGCGCAGGCCUGAUCCAGCCAUACCGCGUGGGUGAAGAAGGCCUUCGGGUUGUAAAGCCCUUUUGUUGGG
rnacentral:rRNA from 1 species